UACGGAGGGUGCAAGCGUUAUCCGGAUUCACUGGGUUUAAAGGGUGCGUAGGUGGGCAAGUAAGUCAGUGGUGAAAUCUCCGGGCUUAACCCGGAAACUGCCAUUGAUACUAUUUGUCUUGAAUACUGUGGAGGUCAGCGGAAUAUGUCAUGUAGCGGUGAAAUGACUUAGAUAUGACAUAGAACACCAAUUGCGAAGGCAGCUAGCUACACAAAUAUUGACACUGAGGCACGAAAGCGUGGGGAUCAAACAGG
rnacentral:rRNA from 1 species